rnacentral:rRNA from 1 species
GACGAACGCUGGCGGCGUGCUUAACACAUGCAAGUCGAGCGGUAAGGCCCUUUCGGGGGUACACGAGCGGCGAACGGGUGAGUAACACGUGGGUGACCUGCCUCUAGCUCUGGGAUAAGCCCGGGAAACUGGGUCUAAUACUGGAUAUGACUCCAUGACGCAUGUUGUGGGGUGGAAAGCCUUGUGCGGCUAGAGAUGGGCCCGCGGCCUAUCAGCUUGUUGGUGGGGUGAUGGCCUACCAAGGCGACGACGGGUAGCCGGCCUGAGAGGGCGACCGGCCACACUGGGACUGAGACACGGCCCAGACUCCUACGGGAGGCAGCAGUGGGGAAUCUUGCGCAAUGGGCGAAAGCCUGACGCAGCGACGCCGCGUGAGGGAUGACGGCCUGGUGUAAC